rfam:Halothermothrix orenii H 168, complete genome.
GGGUCCUUUAAACUGGUCCAGUGAGGCCGGUAAGGAAGACGGAGAACAUAUAGAUAAAGUAAACCUUCUUGCCGGUCGGUAAGAAGGUUUUUUUGU